GCCAAGGGCGGGCCAGGAGCCUGGGGAAGACGAAGGUGGCAAGCGUUGUUCGGGUUGACGGGGCGUACAGGGGGGGUAGGCGGUUUGGUAAGCCUUCUGUUAAAGCUUCGGGCCCAACCCGGAAAGCGCAGAGGGGACUGCCAGGCUAGAGGGUGGGAGAGGAGCGCGGAAUUCCCGGUGUAGCGGUGAAAUGCGUAGAGAUCGGGAGGAAGGCCGGUGGCGAAGGCGGCGCUCUGGAACACACCUGACGCUGAGACACGAAAGCGUGGGGAGCAAACAGGAUUAGAUACCCCGGUAGUC
rnacentral:rRNA from 1 species